rnacentral:lncRNA from 1 species
AUCGAUGUCAACGUUCACAAGAACCAAAACCGGAACAACAUUAGACUACUCAGUUGCGCCCUAACAGUAUAACUUUGCAACGAGUACUUUUUCUCAUUCUAUCGAACAAAGAGUAAAACCUAAUUAUAUUGUUCUAUUAUACCCCGAGAGUGUAAAUUUUUAACUUAUCGAGGUCAACGUUCACAAGAACCAAAGCCCAACCAACAUUAGACUACUCAGUUGCGCCCUAACAGCAUAACUUUGCAAUAAGUACUUUUUCUCCUCCAACCGAAUAAAGAGAAAAACCUAAUUAUAUUGUUCUAUUUUACCCUGAGAGAGUAAAUUUGCAACGUAUCAAUGUCAACGUUCACAAAAAUCAAAACCGGACCAACAUUAGACUACUCAGUUGCGCCCUAACAGCAUAACUUUGCAAUAAGUACUUUUUCUCCUCCAACCGAAUAAAGAGAAAAACCUAAUUAUAUUGUUCUAUUUUACCCUGAGAGAGUAAAUUUGCAACGUAUCAAUGUCAACGUUCACAAAAAUCAAAACCGGACCAACAUUAGACUACUCAGUUGCGCCCUUACAAUAUAACUUAAUUAUAUUGUUCUAUUAGACUUUUUCUCAUUCAAUUGAACAAAGAGUAAAACCUAAUUAUAUUGUUCUAUUAUGCCCCGAGAGUAUAAAUUUGCAGUGUAUCGAUGUCAACGUUCACACGAACCAAAAUGGUACAAACAUUAGACUACUAGUUGUGCCCUAACAGUAUAACUUUGCAACGAGUACUUUUUCUCAUUCAACCGAACAAACAGUAAAACCUGAUUAUAUUGUUCUAUUAUGCCCCGAGAGUAUAAAUUUGCAACGUAUCGAUGUCAACGUUCACAAGAACCAAAAUCGGAACAACAUUAGACUACUCAGUUACGCCAUAACAGUAUAACUUUGCAAACAGUACUUUUUCUCAUUCAAUCGAACAAAGAGUAAAACCAACUUAUAUUAUUCUAUUAUACCCCGAGCAUGUAAAUUUGCAACUUAUCGAUGUCAACGUUCACAAGAACGAAAACCGGAAGAACAUUAGACUACUCAGUUGCGCCCUAACAACAUAACUUUGCAAACAGUGCUUUUUCUCAUUCAAUCGAACAAAGAGUACAACCUAAUUAUAUUGUUCUAUUAUCGCCCGAGAGUGUAAGUUUGCAACGUAUCGAUGUCAACGUUCAUAAGAAUCAAAACCGGAAAAAUAUUAGACAACUCAGUUGCUCCCUAAUACUAUAACUUUACAAAGAGUACUUUUUCUCAUUCAACCGAACAAAGAGUAAAACCUAAUUAUAUUGUUCUAUUAUGGCCCGAGAGUGUAAAUUUACAAGGUAUCGAUGUCAACGUUCAAAAAAACCAAAACCGGACAAAAAUUAGACUACUCAGUUGCUCCCUAACAGUAUAACUUUACAACGAGUACUUUUUCUUCUUCAACCGAACAAAGAGUAAAAUCUAAUUAUAUUAUUCUAUUAUGACCCGAAAGUGUAAAUUUGCAACGUAUCGAUGUCAACAUUCACAAGAAACGAAACCGAAAAAAUUUUAGACUACUCAGUUGCUCCCUAACAUUAUAACUUUGCAACGAGUACUUUUUCGCAUUCAAUCAAAAAAAGAGUAAAACCUAAUUAUAUUGUUCUAUUAUGCCCCGAUAGUGUUAAUAUGCAAUGUAUCGAUGUCAACGUUCACAAGAACCAAAACCAGAACAACAUUAGACUUCUCUAUUACGCCCUAACAGCUUAACUUUGCAAACAGUACUUUUUCUCAUUCAAUCGAACAAAGAGUAAAACCAAAUUAUAUUAUUCUAUUAUGCCCCUAGAAUGUAAAUUUGCAACGUAUCGAUGUCAACGUUCACAGAAACCAAAACGGGAAGAACAUUAGACUACACAAUUGCGCCCUAACAGCAUAAUUUUGCAAUGAGUACUUUUUCUCCUUCAACCGAACAAAGAAUAAAAGCUAAUUAUAUUGUUCUAUUAUGCCCCGAGAGUGUAAAUUUACAAUGUAUCGAUGCAAACGUUCACAAAAACCAAAACCGGAACAACAUUAGACUACUCAGUUGCACCCUAACAAUAGAACUUUGCAAACAGAGCUUUUUCUCAUUCAAUCGAACAAAGAGUAAAAUCCAAUUAUAUUAUUCUAUUAUACCCCGGGAGUGUAAAUUUGGAACGAAUCGAUGUCAACGUUCACAAAACCCAAAACCGGAACAACAUUAGACUACUCAGUUGCGCCCUAACAGUAGAACUUUGCAAACAGAGCUUUUUCUCAUUCAAUCGAACAAAGAGUAAAAUCCAAUUAUAUUAUUCUAUUAUACCCCGGGAGUGUAAAUUUGCAACUUAUCGAUGUCAACGUUCAGAAGAACCAAAACCGGACCUACAUUAUAAUACUCAGUUGCUCCCUAACAGUAUAACUUUGCAAUGAGUACGUUUUCUCAUUCAAUCGAACAAAGAGUAAAACAUAAUUAGAUUGUUCUAUUACGCCCCGAGAGCGUACAUUUGCAACGAUUUGAUGUCAACGUUCACGUAAACCAAAACCAGACCAACAGUAGCCAUCUUAGUUGCGCCCUAACAGUAUAACUUUGCAACGAGUACUUUUUCUCAUUCUAUCGAAUAAAGAGUAAAACCGAAUUAUAUUGUUCUAUUAUGCCCCGAGAGCAUAUAUUUGCAACGUAUCGAUGUCAACGUUCACACGAACCAAAAUCGGACCAAUAUUAGACUACUCAGUUGCGCCCUAACAGUAUAACUUUGCAACGAGUACUUUUUCUCAUUCAACCGAACAAAGAGUAAAACCUAAUUAUAUUGUUCUAUUAUGCCCCGAGAGUGUAAAUUUGCAACGUAUUAAUAUCAACGUUCACAAUAACCAAAACCGAACAAACAUUAGACUACUCAGUUGCGCCCUAACAGUAUAACUUUGCAACGAGUACUUUUUCUCAUUCAAGCGAACAAAGAGUAAAACCUAAUUAUAUUGUUCUAUUAAGCCCCGAGAGUUUAAAUUUGCAACCUAUCGAGGCCAACGUUCACAAGAACCAAAUCGGACCAAUAUUAGACUACUCAGUGGCGCUCUAACAGUAUAACUUGGCAACGAGUAUUUUUUCUCAUUCAACCGAAUGAAGAGUAAAACCUAAUUAUAUUAUUCUAUUAUGCCCCGAGAGUGUGAAUUUGCAACGUAUCGAUGUCAACGUUCACAAGAACCAAAACCGGACCAAUAUUGGACUACUCAGUUGCGCCCUAACAGCAUAACUUGGCAACGAGUACUUUUUCUCAUUCAAUCGAAUAGAGAGUAAAACCUAAUUAUAUUAUUCUAUUAUGCCCCGAGAGUGUGAAUUUGCAACGUAUCGAUGUCAACGUUCACAAGAACCAAAACCGGACCAAUAUUGGACUACUCAGUUGCGCCCUAACAGCAUAACUUGGCAACGAGUACUUUUUCUCAUUCAAUCGAAUAGAGAGUAAAACCUAAUUAUAUUAUUCUAUUAUGCCCCGAGAGUGUGAAUUUGCAACGUAUCGAUGUCAACGUUCACAAGAACCAAAACCGGACCAAUAUUGGACUACUCAGUUGCGCCCUAACAGCAUAACUUGGCAACGAGUACUUUUUCUCAUUCAAUCGAAUAGAGAGUAAAACCUAAUUAUAUUAUUCUAUUAUGCCCCGAGAGUGUGAAUUUGCAACGUAUCGAUGUCAACGUUCACAAGAACCAAAACCGGACCAAUAUUGGACUACUCAGUUGCGCCCUAACAGCAUAACUUGGCAACGAGUACUUUUUCUCAUUCAAUCGAAUAGAGAGUAAAACCUAAUUAUAUUAUUCUAUUAUGCCCCGAGAGUGUGAAUUUGCAACGUAUCGAUGUCAACGUUCACAAGAACCAAAACCGGACCAAUAUUGGACUACUCAGUUGCGCCCUAACAGCAUAACUUGGCAACGAGUACUUUUUCUCAUUCAAUCGAAUAGAGAGUAAAACCUAAUUAUAUUAUUCUAUUAUGCCCCGAGAGUGUGAAUUUGCAACGUAUCGAUGUCAACGUUCACAAGAACCAAAACCGGACCAAUAUUGGACUACUCAGUUGCGCCCUAACAGCAUAACUUGGCAACGAGUACUUUUUCUCAUUCAAUCGAAUAGAGAGUAAAACCUAAUUAUAUUAUUCUAUUAUGCCCCGAGAGUGUGAAUUUGCAACGUAUCGAUGUCAACGUUCACAAGAACCAAAACCGGACCAAUAUUGGACUACUCAGUUGCGCCCUAACAGCAUAACUUGGCAACGAGUACUUUUUCUCAUUCAAUCGAAUAGAGAGUAAAACCUAAUUAUAUUAUUCUAUUAUGCCCCGAGAGUGUGAAUUUGCAACGUAUCGAUGUCAACGUUCACAAGAACCAAAACCGGACCAAUAUUGGACUACUCAGUUGCGCCCUAACAGCAUAACUUGGCAACGAGUACUUUUUCUCAUUCAAUCGAAUAGAGAGUAAAACCUAAUUAUAUUAUUCUAUUAUGCCCCGAGAGUGUGAAUUUGCAACGUAUCGAUGUCAACGUUCACAAGAACCAAAACCGGACCAAUAUUGGACUACUCAGUUGCGCCCUAACAGUAUAACUUUACAAACAGUAAUUUUUUUCAUUCAAUGGAACAAAAAGUAAAACCUAAUUAUAUUGUUCUAUUAUGCUCCAAGAGUAUAAAUUUCCAACGUAUCGAUGUCAACGUUCAAAAGAACUAAAACCGGAACAACAUUAGACUACUCAGUUGUGCCAAAACAAUAUAACUUUACAAACAGUGCUUUUUCUCAUCCAAUCGAACAAAGAGUAAAACCUAAUUAUAUUGUUCUAUUAUGCUCCGAGAGUGUAAAUUUGCAACGUAUCGAUGUCAACGUUCAUAAGAACCAAAACCGAAAAAACAUUAGACUACUCAGUUGUUCCAAAAUAUUAUAACUUUGCAAUGAUUACUUUUUCUCAUUCAACCGAACAAAGAGUAAACCUAAUUAUACUGUUCUAUUAUGCCCCGAGAGUAUAAAUUUGCAACGUGUCGAUGUCAACGUUCACAAAAAUCAAAACCGUACCAAUAUUAGACUACUACGUUGAGCCCUAACAGUAUCACUUUGCAACGAGUACUUUUUCUCAUUCAACCGAAAUAAAGAGUAAAUCCGAAUUAUAUUGUCCUAUUAUGCCCCGAGAGUGUAAAUUUGCAACGUAUCGAUGUCAACGUUCACAAGAACUGUCACGCCCCGAGACCCGCUACCAAUUUGGUCCGGUUCGGGCGCGUCGAA